CAGAGGGGCAAGCGUUGUUCGGAAUUACUGGGCGUAAAGGGCGCGUAGGCGGCCUGCUAAGUCGAACGUGAAAUCCCUGGGCUCAACCCAGGAACUGCGUCCGAUACUGGUUGGCUUGAAUCCGGGAGAGGGAUGUGGAAUUCCAGGUGUAGCGGUGAAAUGCGUAGAUAUCUGGAGGAACACCGGUGGCGAAGGCGACAUCCUGGACCGGCAUUGACGCUGAGGCGCGAAAGCCAGGGGAGCAAACGGGAUUAGAUACCCCGGUAGUCCUGGCCCUAAACGAUGAAUGCUUGGUGUGGUGGGUAUCGAUCCCUGCCGUGCCGAAGCUAACGCAUUAAGCAUUCCGCCUGGGGAGUACGGUCGCAAGGCUG
rnacentral:rRNA from 1 species